rnacentral:rRNA from 1 species
CAAGGAAUUUUCGUCAAUGGGCGCAAGCCUGAACGAGCAACGCCGCGUGGAGGAUGACGGCCUUCGGGUUGUAAACUCCUUUUUCGGGGGACGAUAAUGACGGUACCCCGGGAAAAAGGCUCGGCUAACUCUGUGCCAGCAGCCGCGGUAAUACAGAGGAGCCAAGCGUUGUCCGGAUUGACUGGGCGUAAAGCGCACGCAGGCGGACGCGCGCGUGGGGUGUGAAAUCUGGCCGCUUAACGGCCAGGCGCCAUCCCAUACGGCGCGUCUGGAGUGAUGCAGAGGUCGAUGGAAUUGCCGGUGUAGUGGUGAAAUGCGUAGAGAUCGGCAGGAACACCCAGGGGGAAACCAGUCGACUGGGCAUCUACUGACGCUGAGGUGCGAGAGCGUGGGGAGCGAACCGG